GUAUGGGAGUGAGAAUGUUGGCAUGAGUAGCGAGAUGUGGGUGAGAAUCCCACAGGCCGUAAACCCAAGGUUUCCAGGGGAAGGUUCGUCCGCCCUGGGUUAGUCGGGACCUAAGCUGAGGCCGAAAGGCGUAGGUGAUGGACAACAGGUUGAUAUUCCUGUACUACCGAUAACCGUUUGAGAGAAGGGAUGACACAGUAGGAUAAGCUAAGCACACUGUUGGUUAUGUGUGCCCAAGCAUUGAGGCAGUCAAAGUAGGCAAAUCCGCUUUGAUAAUGCUGGGAUGUGAUGGGGAGCGAAAUUUAGUAGCGAAGUAGCUGAUUUCACACUGUCAAGAAAAGUCUCUAUCGAGGUUAAAGGUACCCGUACCGCAAACCGACACAGGUGGGUGAGGAGAGUAUCCUAAGGCCAGCGAGAGAACUGUUGUUAAGGAACUCGGCAAAAUGACCCCGUAACUUAGGGAUAAGGGGUGCCACCAUCAGGUGGCCGCAGAGAAUAGGCCCAAGCGACUGUUUACCAAAAACAUAGGUUUCUGCUAAGUCGCAAGACGAUGUAUAGGAGCUGACGCCUGCCCGGUGCUGGAAGGUUAAGGGGAUCUGUUAGAGCAAUCGAAGCAGUGAACUUAAGCCCCAGUAAACGGCGGCCGUAACUAUAACGGUCCUAAGGUAGCGAAAUUCCUUGUCGGGUAAGUUCCGACCCGCACGAAAGGCGUAACGAUUUGGGCACUGUCUCAACAACAGACUCGGUGAAAUUGUAAUUCCGGUGAAGAUGCCGGAUACCUGCGACAGGACGGAAAGACCCCAUGGAGCUUUACUGUAGCUUGACAUUGGGUCUUGGUACUACAUGUACAGGAUAGGUGGGAGGCUUUGAAACCAGGACGCCAGUUUUGGCGGAGCCAUCCUUGGGAUACCACCCUUGUAGUACUGGGACUCUAACCAUAGGCCAUGAAUCUGGUCUUGGGACACUGUCAGGUGGGCAGUUUGACUGGGGCGGUCGCCUCCCAAAAGGUAACGGAGGCGCUCAAAGGUUCUCUCAGUACGGUCGGAAAUCGUACGUAGAGUGUAAAGGCAAAAGAGAGCUUGAUUGCAAGACAUACAGGUCGAGCAAGGAUGAAAAUCGGACUUAGUGAUCCGGUGGUUCUGCGUGGAAGGGCCAUCGCUCAACGGAUAAAAGCUACCCUGGGGAUAACAGGCUUAUCUCCCCCAAGAGUCCACAUCGACGGGGAGGUUUGGCACCUCGAUGUCGGCUCAUCACAUCCUGGGGCUGUAGUAGGUC
rnacentral:rRNA from 1 species